UACGUAGGUGGCAAGCGUUGUCCGGAUUUAUUGGGUUUAAAGGGUGCGUAGGCGGUCCUAUAAGUCAGUUGUGAAAUACGGCAGCUUAACUGUCGAGGUGCAAUUGAUACUGCAGGACUUGAGUACAGACGAGGUAGGCGGAAUUGACGGUGUAGCGGUGAAAUGCUUAGAUAUCGUCAAGAACACCGAUAGCGAAGGCAGCUUACUAGACCUGUAACUGACGCUGAUGCACGAAAGUGUGGGGAUCAAACAGG
rnacentral:rRNA from 1 species